UUCAGAGAAACCCCGGAAUUAAUAAAAAUGGGCAAUCCUGAGCCAAAUCCCGUCUUCUAAAAACAAAGGUUCAGAAAGCGAAAGGGAUAGGUGCAGAGACUCAAUGGAAGCUGUUCUAACAAAUGGAGUUGACUGCGUUGGUAGAGGAAUCUUUUCAUCGAAACUUCAGAAAGGAUGAAGGAUAAACGUAUCGAUUGAAUACUCUAUCAAAUAAUUAAUGAUGGCCCGAGUCUGUAUCUGUAUUUUUUUAGAUGAAAAGUAGAAGACUUGGUGUGAAUUGAUUCCACAUUCAAAAAAGAAUCGAAUAUUCGUUCAUCAAAUCACCCACUCCAUAGUCUGAUAGAUCUUUUAAAGAACUGAUUAAUCGGACGAGAAUAAAGAUAGAGUCCCGUUCUACAUGUCAAUACCGACAAAAAUGAAAUUUAUAGUAAGAGGAAAAUCCGUCGACUUUAAAAAUCGUGAGGGUUCAAGUCCCUCUAUCCCCAAAAAGGCCUAUUUUAUAUUUAUCCUACCCCUUUUUUCGUUAGCGGUUCAAAAUUCCCUUUUCUUUCUAAUUCUUUUACAAAUGUAUUGGGGCGUAAAUAACUUUCUCUUAUCACAUGUGAUAUAGAAUACACACCCAACAAAUUUAGCAAGGAAUCCCUAUUUGAAUGAUUCACAAUCAAUAGCAUUACUCAUACUGAAACUUACAAAACCGUCUUUUUGAAGAUCCAAGAAAUUACAUACAGGGCUUGGAGAAAACUUUGUAUUCUACCUUUAAUUGACAUAGACCC
rnacentral:tRNA from 3 species